rnacentral:lncRNA from 1 species
GUCAUAAUCCUCCUGCCUCAGCUCUAGCUGACUCACCCAGCGUUAUGGGCUUGCUGUCCUCCUGGUCUGAGCCCACACCUGUCCGGGGGCUGCUGCUCUGCUCCGCAUCUGCCAAGAGAGGAGGGGACAAUUAGUGACACUACAGGGACGUCUGAUCCUAGUUCUGCCAUUUCUGUGCUAUGUGGCCUUCGCAAAUCUGCAGGAGACACAGCGUGAUGGCUGGACUGGAGGUGGCCUUUCCUGAUAGUGACACAAACGGUCAUCCUUGACCCACCCACAGAAGCUAACGUCAGCCUGGCUGUGCUGUGUGCCUUCAGGAAGAGCACUUGACAGUGCUUAAAACUCCCGCCAAUCCACUGUUGCAUAAAUAAAAGUGGGGCCAAAC